CAUUAAGUUUCUAUUAUAGUUCAAUUUAUAUUGUUUUCUUUAUUUUUUACUUGAAAAUAUUUCAGAUUUAGUAAAAUGUUUUUUUUCUCUUGUCAGGAAACUCAACUCCUUGGACAGCCAAGACAAAAACAAAAAACCUUAAUCUUCUGAUGCUUUGGACCUUCUGCCAUGUUAACUACUGACUGCUUAGAACAUUGUACUUGUCCAUGUGCCUAGGCAACAAAGAGACAGGCUUCGGAGUAUGAAAACUCUGUUUCUGUAUUUCUUGUAUUAAAGCCUUAAAGUGUAUAAUGUUAUAUACUUUUUAAAAUAAUUGUAUAUAUGAACCCUUAUUUGUUUAGUGACUCAAAAUGUUCUACUUGGAGCUCAAUAAAGAAUUUUCAUUUAAGUUCCUGUUACAAAGCAAUAAUGCAACUUCACAUUCCUUUAGUGACUCUUAGCCUUACGCAGCAACUUGAAGCGCACGUGAAUUCUCAUGACUAGACUUUAAAUAUGUUUUUGGAAAUAGAUUGCCUGAUAUAUGAACAACAUGGAUAAAUUAAAUGGAGGAUCAGUGUUUCUUCUGGAACUUUAUGUAUUAGCUAAACACAAAACACCAAACAAAACUCAUAAGUAGUAGUGAUAAUCCAGUUUCCUUCAGAAACUUGUGUAACAUGGUAUUUUAAUUCCUGUCAGUUGUAUUAUGCUGCUUAUUCUCUUUCACUUGGUGUUUGCAUAGAAUUGUUUUCUCUGGUAUGCAAUCACUGGUUUUCCAGUAGUAGUCCUGAAUGAGGCUUUUACACUUUGAUUAAUCUUGUAUCUUACAGUUCUGUUUACUCAAUGCUUUCUGCUCUAUUUCAGUUGUGGUUGUGAUAAUUUGUAACAAAUAAAAUCCUGAUAAUUCAAGUC